UACGGGGGGGGCGAGCGUUGUCCGGAAUCAUUGGGCGUAAAGGGCGCGUAGGCGGGGUGGCAAGUCGGGGGUGAAAACCAACGGCUCAACUGUUGGCCUGCCUCCGAAACUGCCAUUCUUGAGUGCGGAAGAGGGAAGUGGAAUUCCUGGUGUAGCGGUGAAAUGCGUAGAUAUCAGGAAGAACACCGGUAGCGAAGGCGGCUUCCUGGUCCGUAACUGACGCUGAGGCGCGAAAGCGUGGGGAGCAAACAGG
rnacentral:rRNA from 1 species